rnacentral:misc_RNA from 1 species
AACUUUUGGCAACGGACCACUUGGUUCUGGCAUCGAUGAAGAACGCAGCGAAAUGCGAUAAGUAAUGUGAAUUGCAGAAUUCCGUGAAUCAUCGAAUCUUUGAACGCACAUUGCGCCCGCCAGUAUUCUGGCGGGCAUGCCUGUUCGAGCGUCAUUUCAACCCUCAAGCCCCCGGGCUUGGUGUUGGGGCUCGGCCCGUCCCUAGCGGGGCGCCGGCCCCGAAAUCUAGUGGCGGUCACGCUGUACCCCUCUGCGUAGUAAUCUAACCUCGCAAAGGGACAAAGCGCGGCCACGCCGUUAAACCCCCAACUUCUGAAGGUUGACCUCGGAUCAGGUAGGAAUACCCGCUGAACUUAAGCAUAUCAAUAAGCGGAGGCU